GCGUGCACCACGCCGUCCCCUGCGCCCCGACUCCUGAAGUCACGGGUGACCGGCGGGGCCAGCGGCUCCCAGACUGCGAUGCCGAAUGGAAACUGUGCUUACUGGGCCAGAGAUUUAGCUCCGUGGUUCCACCGCCUGCCUCGAAAGCACAAGGUCCCGAGUUCGAUCCCGGUAACAACAACAACAACAAAAAGUCUGUUUUUAGCAGAAGCGACUUAGCCGCAAAAACAAAAAGGCGAGCCCUGCGCCCCAGUAACCUCCUCCAAAUGAAUGGUUGUGUUUUCCUAGACGCUUCCCCCGCAGCCCGGCCUCUGGCCCCUUUACUGAAGGGCACCUGCACCGGCAGUGGGAGCUAGUACCGGCAGCCAGCCCUCACCUGAACCUGGGCCCGGCCCCCUGGAGAGCUGCUGCAGUCAUGAGAUGAGCAGGAGACCGACGAGCCAACGCCGUGCACCCGGCCGACUAUGGGGCCGUGCAGAACAGUUUAUUUUUGUCCCUUGCUGUUGUAGAUUUUUAAACUCUUCUGACUUAGGAAGUUCUGCCUCUGGCCCCUCGUCUGUGGCGCUGCCUGUGUAAUUGGAAGGCCGGGCCGGGAGGGCGGGCCGCGCACCUGGCAGUGUACUCUUUGGGUCCCUUCGGGCGUCUCUGGAAUUACUGCCGCACCACAGUCCCCCACAGACUUACUGUUGCCCUUUAGUCCGAGGUUUGCCGCCCUUCUCUCCACAUUUUCUGCAGUGUUUUCCCGUGUACUCGUCUGGGAGCAUAGUGGGCUGUGUGGACAGCCUGGGGUGAAUGUGAGCCGUGGGUUUACCUAGGACAGCUGUUGUCUAACAGUGUGAGAGGCCUUUCCACCCCCCCCACCCCCCCAAAAUCGGGAUUGAACCUAAGGCUUUGCAUGGAGCUACAUCCCCAGUCCUUUUUUUAUUUUUGAGACAGGAUCUCACUGCAUUGCCCAGGCUGGACUGGAACUUGUGAUCCUCCCGCCUCAGCCUCCUACAGCACAGCGCAGGAUUGCAGGUUUGCACCACCACACCCAGUUACACUGGUUUGUUUCUUUUGUUUCUUUUUCUUUUUUUUUUUUUUUUGAUACUGGGGAUCAAACUCGGGAGCUUGUGCUUGUGAGGCAGGUCCCAGAACCACUGAGCUAAAUCCCUGGCCAACUGGUUUGUUUCUUUGUUUUGGUACCGGGGGUCGAACUCAGGUCCUUGCAGCGGAACCACUGAGCUAAAUCCCCAGCCUCCCUGGUUUUUGUUGUUGUUGUUGUUGUUGUUUUGGAGACAGGAUUUCACUAUAUAUCCCAAGGUGGCUUGGAACUCAGUGAUCCUCCUGCCUCAGCUUCCCAAGUGUUGGAAUUACAGGCGUGGGCCACCACACUCAAUUAUGAACACUGAACAUGGGAAUGGGAGGGCAGCUCAGUGGUACAACACCUGCAUACUGUGCAAAGGCCCUGGGUUUAAUCCACAUCACCACCAAAAAUUAAUAAAAUUAUAUGUAUAUAUAUAUAUAUAUAUAUA
rnacentral:lncRNA from 1 species